rnacentral:rRNA from 1 species
CAGUCGUACGCUUCUUUUUCCCCGGAGCUUGCUCCACCGGAAAAAGAAGAGUGGCGAACGGGUGAGUAACACGUGGGUAACCUGCCCAUCAGAAGGGGAUAACACUUGGAAACAGGUGCUAAUACCGUAUAACAAUCGAAACCGCAUGGUUUUGAUUUGAAAGGCGCUUUCGGGUGUCGCUGAUGGAUGGACCCGCGGUGCAUUAGCUAGUUGGUGAGGUAACGGCUCACCAAGGCCACGAUGCAUAGCCGACCUGAGAGGGUGAUCGGCCACAUUGGGACUGAGACACGGCCCAAACUCCUACGGGAGGCAGCAGUAGGGAAUCUUCGGCAAUGGACGAAAGUCUGACCGAGCAACGCCGCGUGAGUGAAGAAGGUUUUCGGAUCGUAAAACUCUGUUGUUAGAGAAGAACAAGGAUGAGAGUAACUGUUCAUCCCUUGACGGUAUCUAACCAGAAAGCCACGGCUAACUACGUGCCAGCAGCCGCGGUAAUACGUAGGUGGCAAGCGUUGUCCGGAUUUAUUGGGCGUAAAGCGAGCGCAGGCGGUUUCUUAAGUCUGAUGUGAAAGCCCCCGGCUCAACCGGGGAGGGUCAUUGGAAACUGGGAGACUUGAGUGCUGAAGAGGAGAGUGGAAUUUCAUGUGUAGCGGUGAAAUGCGUAGAUAUAUGGAGGAACCCCAGUGGCGAAGGCGGCUCUUUGGUCUGUAACUGACGGUGAGGCUUGAAAGCGUGGGGAGCAAACAGGAUUAGAUUCCCUGGUAGUU